AGCGAACGCUGGCGGCAGGCCUAACACAUGCAAGUCGAACGAACUCUUCGGAGUUAGUGGCGGACGGGGGUGUAACACGUGGGAACGUGCCUUUAGGUUCGGAAUAACUCAGGGAAACUUGUGCUAAUACCGAAUGUGCCCUUCGGGGGAAAGAUUUAUCGCCUUUAGAGCAUCCCGCGUCUGAUUAGAUCGUUGGUGGGGUAAAGGCUCACUAAGGGGACGAUCAGUAGCUGGUCUGAGAGGAUGAUCAGCAACAUUGGGAGUGAGACACGGCCCAAACCCCUACGGGAGGCAGCAGUGGGGAAUGUUGAGCAAUGGGCGAAAGACUGACGCAGCCAGGCCGCGUGAAUGAUGAAGGUCUUAGGAUUGUAAAAUUCUUUCACCGGGGACGAUAAUGACGGAACCCGGAGAAGAAGCCCCGGCUAACUUCGU
rnacentral:rRNA from 1 species